rnacentral:lncRNA from 1 species
UAGAUCUGAUCUAGAAUUGUGAAACAAUCGCUAUAUUCUAAAAACUUAAAUUAUAAAAAAUAAUAUUUUUAUAUUUAACAUUCUCUUUUACAUAUGUUAGGGUUCAAGACUUCUUGAUAUAACUAUGAUGAAUUUGAAUUAAAUGUGAGAAAAUUAAUUAUACUAAAAGCCUGGCGUGAUUUGAACUCAGUACCUAAUGCUCUGAUACUACGUUAAAUAAUAUGACCGCUGUACUUUAUUAAGGUUAUGUUUGGGUCGGAUAUAAGUAAGAACGGUUUAUUACAGAGAUAGGUACAACUUCGGGUAUAAAUAAUAAAGUAAAUAG